rnacentral:rRNA from 1 species
CUCUGUGACUCCUACGGGAGGCAGCAGUGGGGAAUAUUGCACAAUGGGCGCAAGCCUGAUGCAGCAACGCCGUGUGAGUGAAGAAGGUUUCGGAUCGUAAAACUCUGUCCUAAGGGAAGAAAAAAUGACGGUACCUUAGGAGGAAGCCCCGGCUAACUACGUGCCAGCAGCCGCGGUAAUACGUAGGGGGCAAGCGUUAUCCGGAAUCACUGGGCGUAAAGGGUGCGUAGGCGGCUUGACAAGCCAGGGGUGAAAGGCAUUGGCUCAACCAAUGUAAGCCUUUGGAACUGUUAAGCUUGAGUGCAGGAGAGGUAAGUGGAAUUCCUAGUGUAGAGGUGAAAAUUCGUAGAUAUUAGGAGGAACACCAGUGGCGAAGGCGACUUACUGGACUGUAACUGACGCUGAUGCACGAAAGCGUGGGUAGCGAACAGGAUUAGAUACCCUGGUAG